rnacentral:tRNA from 1 species
GCCUGGGUGGCUCAGUUGGUUGAGCAUUUGACUUCAGCUCAGGUCAUGAUCUCACAGUUCAUGGGUUCAGGCCCCACAUCAGGCC